AGUGAACGCUGGCGGUAGGCCUAACACAUGCAAGUCGAACGGCAGCACAGGAGAGCUUGCUCUCUGGGUGGCGAGUGGCGGACGGGUGAGGAAUACAUCGGAAUCUACUCUGUCGUGUGGGAUAACGUAGGGAAACUUACGCUAAUACCGCAUACGACCUACGGGUGAAAGCAGGGGACCUUCGGGCCUUGCGCGAUGGCAUGAGCCGAUGUCGGAUUAGCUAGUUGGCGGGGUAAAGGCCCACCAAGGCGACGAUCCGUAGCUGGUCUGAGAGGAUGGUCAGCCACACUGGAACUGAGACACGGUCCAGACUCCUACGGGAGGCAGCAGUGGGGAAUAUUGGACAAUGGGCGCAAGCCUGAUCCAGCCAUACCGCGUGGGUGAAGAAGGCCUUCGGGUUGUAAAGCCCUUUUGUUGGGAAAGAAAUCCAGCUGGCUAAUACCCGGUUGGGAUGACGGUACCCAAAGAAUAAGCACCGGCUAACUUCGUGCCAGCCGCCGCUGUAA
rnacentral:rRNA from 1 species